rnacentral:rRNA from 1 species
UGGGGAAUCUUAGACAAUGGGGGAAACCCUGAUCUAGCCAUGCCGCGUGAGCGAUGAAGGCCUUAGGGUUGUAAAGCUCUUUCAGCUGGGAAGAUAAUGACGGUACCAGCAGAAGAAGCCCCGGCUAACUCCGUGCCAGCAGCCGCGGUAAUACGGAGGGGGCUAGCGUUGUUCGGAAUUACUGGGCGUAAAGCGCACGUAGGCGGAUUAGUCAGUCAGAGGUGAAAUCCCAGGGCUCAACCCUGGAACUGCCUUUGAUACUGCUAGUCUUGAGGUCGAGAGAGGUGAGUGGAAUUCCGAGUGUAGAGGUGAAAUUCGUAGAUAUUCGGAGGAACACCAGUGGCGAAGGCGGCUCACUGGCUCGAUACUGACGCUGAGGUGCGAAAGCGUGGGGAGCAAAACAGGAUUAGAUACCCUGGUAGUCCACGCCGUAAACGAUGAAUGCCAGUCGUCGGGUUGCAUGCAAUUCGGUGACACACCUAACGGAUUAAGCAUUCCGCCUGGGGAGUACGGUCGCAAGAUUAAAACUCAAAUGAAUUGACGGGGUCAUAGCUGUUUCCUG